rnacentral:rRNA from 1 species
UACGUAGGGUGCGAGCGUUAAUCGGAAUUACUGGGCGUAAAGCGUGCGCAGGCGGCUUCUCAAGUCAGGGGUGAAAGCCCAGAGCUCAACUCUGGAAUUGCCUUUGAGACUGAGUGGCUUGAGUACGGGAGAGGUGAGUGGAAUUCCCAGUGUAGAGGUGAAAUUCGUAGAUAUUGGGAAGAACACCGGUGGCGAAGGCGGCUCACUGGCCCGUAACUGACGCUCAUGCACGACAGCGUGGGGAUCAAACAGG